UUCACUUCCGAUGAACCCCGACUCUCCCGAUACAACUCCUCCACACGUAAAUGUAGGCCUGAGGAUAACAGGAAAAACAGCGCUUCAUUUGUUCUUUCUGAACACCAAACAAAAACAAGAAGGAGAAAGGAGUUGUUCCACAUGUCCCUGAGGCCUGAAAUCUAGCAGCCUGGAAUGCUGAAUCUGUGGUGGGGGACAAAUGUGCUGCUGAUGUGGCUGUGCACAAGUGGAACUGCUGCUGGCCUGACUGAAAAGGCUUCUCUUGCAGCUCAUUUAUCAACUGACGUGUUUUCUGGCUUUGCAGAAGAAGAUGACUGUGAUGACUCAAGGACAUCUCCUUCAAUGCUUUCUGCUAAUUCUGAGGAUGCUUGAAAGAUUCCUGAUGUUCACAGAUACCCCAUCACAGUGCCAACCUACAGGAUGUCAUGUCAGUGUUUCCAUUGAAGUGUCUCAGAGUCCAUUAACCAAGAGCAGGCACCUUUAAUGACCUGAACACACAGCAGGUGGAGAAACUGUUGGUGUACUGAUCAGAUAAAUGGGAUCUCUUAGAAUGUUUUCAAUCUAGAACUAUAUAAUAGUCCAAGAAAAUAUUUCAUACACAAAAAGAAGAAGAGCAUUAAUGGUGGAGUGCAAGACCAUAGAAGUAAAAAAGGCAGAACUCCUGAAAUGCCUGCAGGUACCUGUGACAGGUAGUCCCACCGUCAGCUUUUCAGCUCAGCUCUGAACUGAAGGAAGGCAGUGAGUGAGUGCGUGGAGUGUUUGCUAUGUGACAUGGCACACUGGGUGGUGCUAACGAACUGGUAAUCGCAGCUAUCUUCCCUUUAUUGGGUGUGAGGCAACGGAGGCCCGGGGGUCGGGUGCCUCUGAAUCCGAUCAGGAGUUGUGACUGCAUUAAGAGCCUGUGCGGAGGCAGAGAAACAGAAGUUGGAAGAGACAUCAAUGGUGCUCCUGAGGCAUCCCUUUGAAGCUUAGACUGUGCUUUUGGGAAAAAUGCUGUCAAAAAGAAAACUGGAACCGUGAGCAAAGAAACUGCCUAUAUUUUGUGCGUGCUUAAUGCUCUUGUGUUCAAAGAAGAGAAGGUUCAACACCCUCUGCAAGAAAGGGAUCGGGAAUGCCUGCCUCUACCAUGUAUGUUUUCUAAUGGAUGCACAGCAUCUUUGAAUGAGAAAUCAAAUAACAUUACACGGAUUGGUGAGCAUCCAGUACUUUCCACAGAGGCCUUGCAUUCUGUGCCACUGGUGUGAAGGGCAGAUGGUCAGAUUCACUGAGGGUCUUCAAUCAGUCUGCGUGGAAAAAGCCCCUGUGACUUUCUGAAGGGUAAGCAGUGAUUACAUGGUAAUAUUUGCAAGUCCACUAGUUCACUUGUCUUGUGUAAAUCUGUGCCAGCAAAGUCAAAGUCAACAAGUCUUGUCAACUCUAUGAGAUCGUUUUUCACCUUUUUUCCUUUAGUAAGGGAGACCUCAUCCAAGGCAUGUGGAGCACUACAGAGUGAGUUAUAAACAGUAUUCAAACUCAUGUGAGUUCAUGUAAGUAGUUCACCUUAAUGUCUACGUAUAGGAAUAUUCAUCACAACUGAGGUCUAUACUAUUUCACAUUCAUAAUAUAUAUUCACUAUAUCCUCUGUAUUACCGAUCAUGUCAGGAAAAGAAAAUCCUCACGUGUGCUGGCUGCAUACUCCUUCUGAGGUGUUAUGACUGCUGAACGAUGAAGUUGGUCAUGAUUUGAUGUGAUCUUAAUAAUACCAUUUCAGUGUUGCAUUUGAGCAGGUUUUCCAUUCUCACAUACUCUGAAUUCCUUGUGCUUCAUUGAGAACAGUUAUAUGCAAUUAUUUUUUGUUAUGAAAGUACAUCUCAAGUUUAAAAUAAAGGAUGUAGCACAUUUAUGUUGGAGUGGAAUACUUACAAUUUGAAGAAAUGAGCUGUAUUGCUGAGAAGAAAACUAUCCUACACAGUAUAUUUGACUUCUGUCAAAUCUUUGAGCCUGUCUAAUGCAGAAUGAAACCCAAAACAACACAUUCUUUUAAACCAAGUUAGCUAGUGAAUGUAUUUUGUAGCGCUCAGUAAAUGGGAUUGCUGUUCCAAACUCCAAGCUAUGUUUUUUCUACCAGGCUAUGAGAGACGGUGUUUUAUUCCUGUAAUUGCUACAAUUGGAAAAUUUGCAGUUCUAUUUAAAGAUUAAAUUGGUGCAUUUCUAGCUACUACAUAUGUAUUUUUCCCUUUGUUUCAUAUUAAAAUCUUUCAGACAAUGGUCUGAAACAAAAAUAUUUUAAAGAACUGAAGCAGAAGAGGCAGUGUGAACCUUGUGUGAGGUGCUUGGCCUGCCCUCAGUGAUGGAGGACAGGAUGCUGCCUUGGGCUGAAUGGCACAAUGUGCUGUGCCAGACUCUUGCUGGCAGCAUUUCCCUGGCACUGGCUGCUUAUUAGGGCUCUGCUUCUAUAGCGUGCUUAAAUAUCAGGAAAGGUUUGCCCCUAUGAAUGCACAAAGAUAAAC